rnacentral:tRNA from 1 species
UCGGAUAUGGUGUAACGGCUAACAUUGCCGCCUCUCAUCCAUGAACAGUUUCCGCGGCAGCUCGGGGUUCGAUUCCCCGUUUCCGAA